rnacentral:rRNA from 1 species
UACGUAGGGUGCAAGCGUUGUCCGGAAUUAUUGGGCGUAAAGAGCUCGUAGGCGGUUUGUCACGUCGGAUGUGAAAACCCGAGGCUUAACCUCGGGCCUGCAUUCGAUACGAGCUGACUAGAGUUCGGUAGGGGAGACUGGAAUUCCUGGUGUAGCGGUGAAAUGCGCAGAUAUCAGGAGGAACACCGGUGGCGAAGGCGGGUCUCUGGGCCGAUACUGACGCUGAGGAGCGAAAGCGUGGGGAGCGAACAGG